UACGGAGGAUGCGAGCGUUAUCCGGAAUCACUGGGUUUAAAGGGUGCGUAGGCGGGAAGAUAAGUCAGGGGUGAAAGCUGGUCGCUUAACGAUCAAAUUGCCUCUGAUACUGUUUUUCUUGAAAUAUGAUGAGCUGGCAGAAUGUGACAUGUAGCGGUGAAAUGCAUAGAUAUGUCAUAGAAUACCAAUUGCGAAGGCAG
rnacentral:rRNA from 1 species